CCUACGGGAGGCAGCAGUGGGGAAUAUUGCGCAAUGGGCGAAAGCCUGACGCAGCGACGCCGCGUGAGGGAUGAAGGUCUUCGGAUCGUAAACCUCUGUCAGCAGGGAAGAACGGUCACUGUGCUAAUCCGCAGUUAAUUUACGGUACCUGCAAAGGAAGCACCGGCUAACUCCGUGCCCGCAGCCGCGGUAAUACGGAGGGUGCGAGCGUUAAUCGGAAUUACUGGGCGUAAAGCGCUCGUAGGAGGUAUGUCAAGUCACGGGUGAAAUCCCCGCGCUCAACGUGGGAACUGCCUUUGAAACUGGCAAACUGGAGUGUGUGAGAGGAUAGUGGAAUUCCAGGUGUAGGAGUGAAAUCCGUAGAUAUCUGGAGAAACAUCAGUGGCGAAGGCGACUAUCUGGCACAUAACUGACGCUGAGGAGCGAAAGCGUGGGUAGCAAACAGGAUUAGAUACCCCUGUAGUC
rnacentral:rRNA from 1 species